UAUUCGUACUUAUCGUUCACAUUACUAGACACUUAUUCUCGUCAUUAAAUAAAUAAAUAAAAAAUUAUACGCAAAAUUUCUUAUUUAUUUUAUUUAGGAAAUCUCGGGUUAUUACAAUGACAAUAAUCGAAUCAAUAAUAUAAGAGAUAUGAUGCAGCAAUUACUAUAGCAAUAAUUGAGUAUAACUGAGUGACUUCUCACGUAAGCAUCAAUAACCAAUACAGUGUGCUACUAUGCAACCACGCGUAUUAUUGUACUUUUACUACCGAGUAGUUCAACAGUUUUAAUGGUAAAACUUCCGCUGUUAUUUUUAUAAAAAUAAUUCUGUCAUUUUCUUACUACAACAAUACUUUUGUUGUGGGGUCCACCAAUGAUUGUGCCAUCGUACGAAUAUUCCCCGACAAAAAAGAAUAUUCCCAGACCAAAUGAAUAUUUUAUAACAACUUGCAUAUUUUGCAAAAUUUAUAAAUACUACCCACAACUAUAACAUUA
rnacentral:lncRNA from 1 species